AACGAACGCUGGCGGCAUGCCUAACACAUGCCAGUCGAACGAGACCUUCGGGUCUAGUGGCGCACGGGUGCGUAACGCGUGGGAACCUGCCCUUAGGUUCGGAAUAACUCCCCGAAAGGGGUGCUAAUACCGGAUAAUGUCUUCGGACCAAAGAUUUAUCGCCUUUGGAUGGGCCCGCGUUGGAUUAGCUAGUUGGUAGGGUAAAAGCCUACCAAGGCGACGAUCCAUAGCUGGUCUGAGAGGAUGAUCAGCCACACUGGGACUGAGACACGGCCCAGACUCCUACGGGGGGCAGCAGUGGGGAAUAUUGGACAAUGGGCGAAAGCCUGAUCCAGCAAUGCCGCGUGAGUGAUGAAGGCCUUAGGGUUGUAAAGCUCUUUUACCCGGGAUGAUAAUGACAGUACCGGGAGAAUAAGCGCCGGCUAACUCCGUG
rnacentral:rRNA from 1 species